rnacentral:rRNA from 1 species
CCCGGAGGGUGCAAUCGUUAUUCGGAAUCACUGGGCGUAAAGAGCGCGUAGGCGGUCUCUUAAGUCAGAUGUGAAAGCCCGGGGCUUAACCCCGGAAGUGCAUUUGAAACUAAGGGACUUGAGUAUGGGAGAGGGAAGUGGAAUUCCUGGUGUAGCGGUGAAAUGCGUAGAUAUCAGGAGGAACACCGGUGGCGAUGGCGACUUCCUGGACCAAUACUGACGCUGAGGCGCGAAGGCGUGGGGAGAAAACAGG